rnacentral:lncRNA from 1 species
AUACAAUUGAGAUACAUUUAGCAGACAGAAUCAAUAGAGUUGAUGAGUGACUGACUGGAUGUGUGGGGAGUUUAUAUCACUCCCAGGUUUUUGACUUGGGCAACUGGGCACUCAAGAAGGAAAAAGAGGAUCCAGGGAGAGGAACUUUUCUGAGGACUGGGGUAGGGCUGAACAGCUGCAUUCGAGACUGGUGGAGGGUGGGCUGGGCAUGGGAUGCACAAAUGGAGAUUCCACUGGGUCUGCAGCUCACACAUAGGCAUGACCAGCAUAGAGAUAGAGAGGCCCCAGUGCUGCUGAGUAACUGUGAUUCCCCAGGUGAUGGCAUCAGCUGAGAAGGGAAGGAAGCCUAUGUGAGGACACUGAAGAAGGAGUGAGCAGACAAUAAGAAGCCCACAGAAGACAGAGAAGGAACAACUAGAGGGAGAAGCCAAGGCAGGCAUGUGUGGUAACAUAUAGGAACUGAGGGAGAGGACAUUUCAAGAUGGAGAGGAUGCCAUACAACAGGACUAUGUGAUGGUUUUUGGCUGUGUCCAUAGGAAGUCACAACAGGCAAGGGAAAGAAACCAGAACCCAGUCAUGGAGUUAAGAAGUGAGUCAGAGAGGAGAUGGGUAGGGACAGUGAGGUAAGGCCUCUUUUUAAGGAAGUUUGGCUGAAGGAUAGACUAGCUGGACAUAUAUGCUGGCUGUGUGGGGUAGAGGGAGGAAUGAUGGAGGGUAGGAGAGCCUUGAGCCUGCGAGAAGAGUCUCCUAGAAUAGAGAAGCUGAGGUUAAAGUUGUGGAAGACAGUGGGGAUAACUGAGUGACAGAUAAUCAGGAGAAGAAAAGGAGAUCCAGAAUCAUGACAGAGAGAUGACCUUUGCCAAGAGCACAGCCAUCUUUCACUGCACAGAGAGGUAGGACAAAACGAUUGGUGUUCAAGAAUUGGUUUGUAGCACAAUAUUUUAACUAUGUCCUUUAAAAAGUUUCUCCACAGACACUACCCAAAGCAGUCCUUCACUACAGUGGCAGACAGACCUGAAAAUUUUCAUCUGAAGCAGCAGAGUGAACUGCAGAGUCAGGUCACCAACCAGUGUGGAGGCUAAAAGCGGGCCUCUUCGGGGAUUCCAGGUGGAAGUGUUGGACAUCUGUAGUAUUCCUGGUCUCGAAUCAUCCUGAUAUUCUUCAUUUUGUUAUUCACAUUGGACUAGGAGAUAGAAUCUCACUAUGUUGACCAGGCUGGUCUUGAACUCUUGGCACCCAAGCGAUCCUUUUGCCUGGAAUCCCAAAGUGUCAGAUUUACUGAAGAAUAUUUCAUUGUAAUUACUUUUUAUACUUUAUAGGUCAAGA